rnacentral:tRNA from 1 species
GCCCUUGUAGCUCAACUGGAUAGAGCGUCGGGUUUCUACCCCGAAGGUUGCGGGUUCGACUCCUGCCGGGGGCAC